rnacentral:rRNA from 1 species
AGUGAACGCUGGCGGUAGGCCUAACACAUGCAAGUCGAACGGCAGCACAGUAAGAGCUUGCUCUUACGGGUGGCGAGUGGCGGACGGGUGAGGAAUACAUCGGAAUCUACUUUUUCGUGGGGGAUAACGUAGGGAAACUUACGCUAAUACCGCAUACGACCUACGGGUGAAAGCAGGGGAUCUUCGGACCUUGCGCGAUUGAAUGAGCCGAUGUCGGAUUAGCUAGUUGGCGGGGUAAAGGCCCACCAAGGCGUCGAUCCGUAGCUGGUCUGAGAGGAUGAUCAGCCACACUGGAACUGAGACACGGUCCAGACUCCUACGGGAGGCAGCAGUGGGGAAUAUUGGACAGUGGGCGCAAGCCUGAUCCAGCCAUACCGCGUGGGUGAAGAAGGCCUUCGGGUUGUAAAGCCCUUUUGUUGGGAAAGAAAAGCAGCAGGUUAAUACCCCGCUGUUCUGACGGUACCCAAAGAAUAAGCACCGGCUAACUUCGU